rnacentral:tRNA from 1 species
GCGGGUAUAGUUUACCCUAGCCUUCCAAACUAACGAUGCGGGUUCGAUUCCCGCUACCCGCU